rnacentral:rRNA from 1 species
AAAUUGAAGAGUUUGAUCAUGGCUCAGAUUGAACGCUGGCGGCAGGCCUAACACAUGCAAGUCGAACGGUAACAGGAAGAAGCUUGCUUCUUUGCUGACGAGUGGCGGACGGGUGAGUAAUGUCUGGGAAACUGCCUGAUGGAGGGGGAUAACUACUGGAAACGGUAGCUAAUACCGCAUAACGUCGCAAGACCAAAGAGGGGGACCUUCGGGCCUCUUGCCAUCGGAUGUGCCCAGAUGGGAUUAGCUAGUAGGUGGGGUAACGGCUCACCUAGGCGACGAUCCCUAGCUGGUCUGAGAGGAUGACCAGCCACACUGGAACUGAGACACGGUCCAGACUCCUACGGGAGGCAGCAGUGGGGAAUAUUGCACAAUGGGCGCAAGCCUGAUGCAGCCAUGCCGCGUGUAUGAAGAAGGCCUUCGGGUUGUAAAGUACUUUCAGCGGGGAGGAAGGGAGUAAAGUUAAUACCUUUACUCAUUGACGUUACCCGCAGAAGAAGCACCGGCUAACUCCGUGCCAGCAGCCGCGGUAAUACGGAGGGUGCAAGCGU